rnacentral:sRNA from 1 species
UUCUAGCCCUGAUGGUAGCGGCAUCCUUUUUCUGGCUUCUUUAGCCAGGAAAAGAUAUAGCGGACAGCAGGAAAUAGC